GAUGAACGCUGGCGGCGUGCCUAAUACAUGCAAGUCGAGCGAAUGGAUUAAGAGCUUGCUCUUUUGAAGUUAGCGGCGGACGGGUGAGUAACACGUGGGUAACCUGCCCAUAAGACUGGGAUAACUCCGGGAAACCGGGGCUAAUACCGGAUAACAUUUUGAACCGCAUGGUUCGAAAUUGAAAGGCGGCUUCGGCUGUCCCUUAUGGAUGGACCCGCGUCGCAUUAGCUAGUUGGUGAGGUAACGGCUCACCAAGGCAACGAUGCGUAGCCGACCUGAGAGGGUGGUCGGCCACACUGGGACUGAGACACGGCCCAGACUCCUACGGGAGGCAGCAGUAGGGAAUCUUCCGCAAUGGACGAAAGUCUGACGGGGCAACGCCGCGUGAGUGAUGAAGGCUUUCGGGUCGUAAAACUCUGUUGUUAGGGAAGAACAAGUGCUAGUUGAAUAAGCUGGCACCUUGACGGUACCUAACCAGAAAGCCACGGCUAACUACGUGCCAGCAGCCGCCGUAA
rnacentral:rRNA from 1 species